AAAAUACUCCCUUCGUCCGGAAAUACUUGUCAUCAAAAUGGAUUAAGGGGAUGUAUCUAGACGUAUUUUAGUUCUAGAUACAUCUCUUUCUAUCCAUUUUGAUGACAAGUAUUUUCGGAUGGAGGGAGCAAUAG
rfam:Triticum urartu cultivar G1812 contig978205, whole genome shotgun sequence.